rnacentral:rRNA from 1 species
UACGGAGGGUGCUAGCGUUGUUCGGAAUCACUGGGCGUAAAGCGCGUGUAGGCGGUCCGUUAAGUCUGAUGUGAAAGCCCGGGGCUCACCCCCGGAAGUGCAUUGGAAACUGACGAACUCGAGUCCCGGAGAGGAGGGUGGAAUUCCUGGUGUAGCGGUGAAAUGCGUAGAUAUCAGAAGGAACACCGGUGGCGAAGGCGGCCCUCUGGACGGUGACUGACGCUGAGACGCGAAAGCGUGGGGAGCAAACAGG